rnacentral:rRNA from 1 species
GGGCGAAAGCCUGAUGGAGCAACGCCGCGUGAGUGAAGAAGGAUUUCGGUUCGUAAAACUCUGUUGUAAGGGAAGAACAAGUACAGUAGUAACUGGCUGUACCUUGAUGGUACCUUAUUAGAAAGCCACGGCUAACUACGUGCCAGCAGCCGCGGUAAUACGUAGGUGGCAAGCGUUGUCCGGAAUUAUUGGGCGUAAAGCGCGCGCAGGUGGUUUCUUAAGUCUGAUGUGAAAGCCCACGGCUCAACCGUGGAGGGUCAUUGGAAACUGGGAGACUUGAGUGCAGAAGAGGAUAGUGGAAUUCCAAGUGUAGCGGUGAAAUGCGUAGAGAUUUGGAGGAACACCAGUGGCGAAGGCGACUAUCUGGUCUGUAACUGACACUGAGGCGCGAAAGCGUGGGGAGCAAACAGGAUUAGAUACCCUGGUAGUCCACGCCGUAAACGAUGAGUGCUAAGUGUUAGGGGGUUUCCGCCCCUUAGUGCUGCAGCUAACGCAUUAAGCACUCCGCCUGGGGAGUACGGUCGCAAGACUGAAACU